rnacentral:rRNA from 1 species
GACGAACGCUGGCGGCGUGCUUAACACAUGCAAGUCGAACGGUGAAGCGCCUUCCUUUUUGGUGGGUGUGGAUGAGUGGCGAACGGGUGAGUAACACGUGAGUAACCUGCCCCCUUCUUCUGGAUAACCGCAUGAAAGUGUGGCUAAUACGGGAUAUUCUGGGUCUGUCGCAUGAUGGGUCUGGGAAAGAUAUUGUUUCGGUGGGGGAUGGGCUCGCGGCCUAUCAGCUUGUUGGUGGGGUGAUGGCCUACCAAGGCGGUGACGGGUAGCCGGCCUGAGAGGGUGGGCGGUCACACUGGGACUGAGACACGGCCCAGACUCCUACGGGAGGCAGCAGUGGGGAAUAGUGCACAAUGGGCGCAAGGCUGAUGCAGCGACGCCGCGUGAGGGAUGGAGGCCUUCGGGUUGUGAACCUCUUUCGCCAGUGAAGCAGGCCUGCCUCGUUUGUGGGUGGGUUGACGGUAGCUGGAUAAGAAGCGCCGGCUAACUACGUG